CCCCAGUCACUAGACUAUUGAGUUGUACUAGUAUAGGAGUAAUUCUAGUGCAAAAUCAGUCUGAGUAAAGGGUAAUGGUUGUAAUAAAUAUUUGAACUAAUUCAGUUUGGAUACAAUCCCCACAAACAUGGUGGUGAAGGUAGUUGGUACCAUAGUGCAAGAUCGGACUAAUUACAGACUCCUGAUGUUAAGAGGAGAUUUUAGGGAUUUUACUGUUUCAGAGCAGAAAUGUGUUCAACAGCAGAAACUGACUCCCGGUAACUUACAACUGUUACUUUCCUGUUAAGAAAUGAGUGAACUGGGUGUUGUACAGGCGUUUUGUUGGGACAACAUAAAUAUUUGGAGGGGAGAGAUGUGAGACCCUGUUGGACAGUUAACUUUUUCAGCAUAGGUGAGAUAUCCCACAUACUGUAAUGCAGAGGUAUUCAUGUGUACUAGGGGGGAUAUGGUCAGGCAAUGUACAGGUAGCCCUGGGGUCUUAGGUCAGGUGCACAAUACACAUGACCAAUAAUUAGACCAUGAGCUAGCAAUGAGGCGAGAGAUGAACAAACUCAUGUGCUCCUGUACUUUGGUAAUUGCAGAUGAGCAACAAGGAGGGAAGGAUGAACCAGAAAAUCGUUAAAACAAUAGCUGUCUACAAAGCACAAACAGGGCAGUGGUAGCCGAGGAAAUUGGGGACAUUUUGGAUGAGUUUGGAAUAAGGGGCAAAGUGCCAGCUAUUGCAGUGGAUAAUGCAUCCAACAUGGUUGUGGCAGUAAAAAAGCUGCACAUCAUGAACACAGGCUGCUUCGCACACACGCUUAAUCUUGGGGCUCAAAGUCUGUACACAAUCAUCGCAGUUGCAAAAUGGAGAGCAAAGAUCUGUGAUAUGAUCGUGUGGAUGAAGAGGUCAUCCAUGGCCAAGACUGUGAUCCAAGAAAAGCAACACAUUCUGAACCUGCCCCAGAACUCUGUCCUUCUUGACAUCAGAACUUAAAGUAAAAAGCUGGAACUCAACCUCAUGCUACCUCACCUUGAGCAGUAUCCUGCGAUUCAAGCAGCUUCUUUGGAUGAGUGGCUUAGAAAGCCAAUGGAGAGGGACAGACUUGCUCGACUAAUGAAUGAUGACUUUGUCCAACUAAUGUUAGUUCUAUACACAUCCACGCUCUGUGUCUCAACUGAGAAGACUCCAACCGGUGGCCAGAUCAAUCCCAUGCUGCAAAAGCUGAGGAAGCAUUUCACUGUGCAAGAUGGAAAUGCAGUGUUUGUGUCAACCCUAAAGAAGAUAUUUUGGUCUGAUUCAAACCUACAUAAAGGCCAAGAUGAGUCCUUUGGAGGACCCUUUUGCAGAAGAUGAUGACCUGAAGAGGAACCUAGUUCAGAGCACCUUGUCCAUCCAGGAAAGGUCUGACAAAGAACUGGAGAUGUAUAGGCACAUGCCGCCUAUAAUGACCCCUGAAGACCCUGCUCUCUGGUGGUGGAACAGGAGAAACACAUAGUCUUUGCUGUCAGACCUAGCCCUCUCAUACCUGUGUGUACAGGCCUCGAAUACCCCCAGUGAGAGGGUUUUCUGUACUGCUGGAGAUACAAUCAGCUUAGAGAGACCAUGCAUCCCUCCGGAGAAGGCAGACAUGAUUUUUUUUCG